UACAGAGGGUGCUAGCGUUGUUCGGAAUUAUUGGGCGUAAAGCGCGUGUAGGCGGCUUUGCAAGUCAGGUGUGAAAGCCCUCGGCUUAACCGAGGAAGUGCGCCUGAAACUGUGAGGCUUGAGUACCGGAGAGGGUGGUGGAAUUCCCGGUGUAGAGGUGAAAUUCGUAGAUAUCGGGAGGAACACCAGUGGCGAAGGCGACCACCUGGACGGCUACUGACGCUGAGACGCGAAAGCGUGGGGAG
rnacentral:rRNA from 1 species